rnacentral:lncRNA from 1 species
UUCAGUUAAGCUGCUUCUGAGUGCUGGGGCUCUACCCAAUCAAGACCCAGUCAACUGCCUACAGAUAGCUCUCAGGAUGGGCAACUAUGAGCUCAUAAACCUAUUACUGAGGCAUGGGGCCAACGUCAACUACUUCUGCCGAGUUAACCCUCUGCAUUUCCCAUCAGCACUGCAAUACACAUUGAAAGAUGAAGUCAUGCUCAGGAUGCUGUUGAACUAUGGCUAUGACACUGAGCGAUGCUUUGACUGUCCUCACGGGGAAAGGGUUCAUCGUUGUUGUACUUUUGAAGGCUGGACAUCUACCGUUAUUAAAGAUACUAUGGUAAGCCCACAGUACUGGUGGUACUCCCUAAACAUUUAUUAUCUUCUAGCCUCAGAACUGUAACAAUAAACACGAUGUGCUCGUGGAAAA